rnacentral:rRNA from 1 species
UGGGGAAUUUUGGACAAUGGGCGCAAGCCUGAUCCAGCCAUGCCGCGUGCGGGAAGAAGGCCUUCGGGUUGUAAACCGCUUUUGUCAGGGAAGAAAUCUUCUGAGUUAAUACCUCGGGAGGAUGACGGUACCUGAAGAAUAAGCACCGGCUAACUACGUGCCAGCAGCCGCGGUAAUACGUAGGGUGCAAGCGUUAAUCGGAAUUACUGGGCGUAAAGCGUGCGCAGGCGGUUUUGUAAGACAGAGGUGAGAUCCCCGGGCUCAACCUGGGAACUGCCUUUGUGACUGCAAGGCUUGAGUGCGGCAGAGGGGGAUGGAAUUCCGCGUGUAGCAGUGAAAUGCGUAGAUAUGCGGAGGAAACACCGAUGGCGAAGGCAAUCCCCUGGGCCUGCACUGACGCUCAUGCACGAAAGCGUGGGGAGCAAACAGGAUUAGAUACCCUGGUAGUCCACGCCCUAAACGAUGUCAACUGGUUGUUGGGAAGGUUCCUUCUCAGUAACGUAGCUAACGCGUGAAGUUGACCGCCUGGGGAGUACGGCCGCAAGGUUGAAACUCAAA